GGCUGGUCCGAGUGCAGUGGUGUUUACAACUAAUUGAUCACAACCAGAUUUCUUUGUUCCUUCUCCACUCCCACUGCUUCAUUUGACUAGCCUAAA
ensembl:Y_RNA Y_RNA Y RNA